UCGCGCUAGGCGGGGAGCCAGCGGUGCCCUGUACCCGCAAUCCGCUACAGCGGGGCUGAAUCCCCGCCCGAGGGGCCGUUCCGCGAGGCUGUCAGCCGUGUCGCGGCGUUGAAGGUCGGGUCCUACGCAAUGGAACCCUGCGAACCCCGUCAGGUCCGGGAGGAAGCAGCGGUAAGCAGGCCAUUCCAUGUGCCGCAGGGUCGCCUGACCCGAGCUUGCGCACGGCGAGGACGCUCGGAGAACGCGCUUCGACGGCGGGUGCGCGG
rnacentral:SRP_RNA from 1 species